UACGGGGGGGGCAAGCGUUGUUCGGAAUUACUGGGCGUAAAGGGCUCGUAGGCGGCCAACUAAGUCAGACGUGAAAUCCCUCGGCUUAACCGGGGAACUGCGUCUGAUACUGGAUGGCUUGAGUGUGGGAGAGGGAUGCGGAAUUCCAGGUGUAGCGGUGAAAUGCGUAGAUAUCGAGAGGAACACCUGCGGCGAAGGCGGGUUGCUGGGCUGAUACUGACGCUGAUGCGCGAAAGCCAGGGGAGCGAACGGG
rnacentral:rRNA from 1 species